CAACGUUUUUUAUUUCAGGAAUAGUACAUUUUAAGUCAAACACCUUAGCCAAAACAAUUUUGAAUAUCUAAAAAUCGUCAAUAUAGUAUAUCAACUGAUAUUAUACCUUUUGCACAUUAAUAGAGUGUGAAGUAGAACAAAAUACCAAGCUUGCCUUCAUGGCCUUUGCAUAACGACGUGCCUAACCAAGUUAAUAAUACGACUUCUAGUAAUUUUUGUACCUGUUUGGUAAUCUCUUCUUGAUCUUCACGAGGAAAUGUCAUGAAAUGAUCGUAUUUUGUUCCAAUCAAUAUAGGGACAGCGGUCUGAAAGCGUUAGUAACUAAGUUAGAGAUAUACUGAGUACGAUAAAAAGUAAUCUAAUGAAGUUUAGCCACGAACAGAGGUUAUCGGUUCUAAAAACAAAAUCAAAACAACCCGGACGUGCAUAAACGUAUAUCGGAACGAAAGAACUCAUACCUUAUUGAAACCGCGAGCUUGACGAUACCAUUCUUUGAUAGAAUUUAAUGUGGAUUUCCUUGAAAGAUCGAACAUAAAGAGAAUUGCAACGGCAUCGUUACAAACCAUCGGUAGCAUGUUUACAAAUUCUCGCUGACCUCCAAGGUCCCAAAUUGAAAAGGUAAUUUCAGUGUUUCGAAUGCUUAUUGUUUUCUCCAUAAAAUUCACUCCUAAGUUUGUUAAGUUAGAAAUCUCCCAAUAAAGGUAAAUAUUUACCAAGCGUUUGUGUGCUUUCCUCAUCAAAUGAGCCCUGAACAUAAGUUACCAUAAGAGAUGUUUUGCCAAUUGAACUAUCUCCAAUCAUUCCGACUUUUAUCGUGACGUUAUUUUUUCUAGCAUCUGCCAUUCUUUAAAACUCCUAUCCUCUGAUAUUACUCUGCUUGAACCCCGGCAGUAGAUGAACAAUUUCCCUUUGCAUAGGAUAAGAAGCCUCGUUCGUGUUAUAAUAUAUAUAUUGGCUUAUUAUGAAUAGCGUAUUAUGACAUAGCUUGCUACGUCGUGUUACGUUGACUUGUACAUAUAUUUUUUUAAGCAAUGGAAAGAAUGCUGGUAAUAUAUUAGUUUGUAAAUUAAAACGAGAAAAGAUCUUUAUUUAUAAUAAGUAAUUAUAAAAAAGCUAGUUAUUAUAACUGGUGGGUUUACAGUAAAUUGUAGUUUUGAUUAUUUGCUAUCGAUAAUGUAAAAUUCCAUAACUGUUUGUGCUAAUUAUUGAGCCAAAUGAGAUGCGUUGUUAAUUGCUCUUGGAAUUAUUCGUAAUUCUUGUACUCAUAAGUUUGUUCGGGACUAUUUUUUCUGGGUUUUACUCGCAUUGCAACGGAAUUCGGGUUCUUACCAGGGAUUGUGGUACCGAGCCGCCAGGUGUUUAUGAAGCCAUAAUAUGAUAAAGGUACUAAAAUUGUUCAUAUACUGAUAAUUAGAAGUUACACUAAGACUGAACGUUAACAUGGCAGUGUCAUUUUUAAAAUGCUUGACGACCAGAACAAGCCAGUAAUAAUUAAUAUAUUAAGUCAACCAAAUGCCU